GGUCCCUUAGCUCAGUUGGUUAGAGCGUGGUGCUAAUAUCUCCGUUCACGUUGAUACGCCAAGGUCGCGAGUUCGACCCUCGUAGGGACCA